GACGAACGCUGGCGGCGUGCUUAACACAUGCAAGUCGAACGGAAAGGCCCCUUUGGGGGUACUCGAGUGGCGAACGGGUGAGUAACACGUGAGUAACCUGCCCUUGACUUCGGGAUAACUUCAGGAAACUGGGGCUAAUACCGGAUAGGAAUCCUUGCUGCAUGGUGGGGGUUGGAAAGCUUCGGCGGUUUUGGAUGGACUCGCGGCUUAUCAGCUUGUUGGUGGGGUAGUGGCUUACCAAGGCUUUGACGGGUAGCCGGCCUGAGAGGGCGACCGGCCACAUUGGGACUGAGAUACGGCCCAGACUCCUACGGGAGGCAGCAGUGGGGAAUAUUGCACAAUGGGCGGAAGCUUGAUGCAGCAACGCCGCGUGCGGGAUGACGGCCUUCGGGUUGUAAACCGCUUUCAGCAGGGGCGAAGCUUGUGGUGACGGUACCUGCAGAAGAAGCACCGGCUAACUACGUG
rnacentral:rRNA from 1 species